rnacentral:lncRNA from 1 species
GAGGAAGAAGAGGAAGGCAGCCGCCGCCGGGGAAGGCACAGCGCAGAGUGGACUUGCAGGACUGGCGCAGAGCCGGGUCCCCAGGUCCCGCGCGGUGCGCAGCCGAGACAAUAAAGUAGCCGUCUACAGCCCCGGAGCGCCGCAGGGAGGAGGUGGCGGAGCAGGCUUUGAUGAGAAAUCCAGAAGAAAGAGUGUAUGAAAGAAAAAGAUGACAUCUAUGCAUAGCAAACAAAAUCUGAAGAUUAUUACAGUAAAAACAAAAGAAAGGCAAGAGAAUACUUACUAGUUAAAGCUCAUCACCUGACAGAAAUUUCUAAAAGAAACAUGUCACCUAAACUCAACAAAAUUAGUCCCAGGUUCUUUGAAAAGCAUUUUUGAACCUUUGUUGCACAGCUUGAAAAGCAUCAAGAACGGACUCUCCGGACUCUUCAAAUGAGUGUUUGUUUUUCACAUUCCAUCUUUUCUUGGUGGAGCUUGUAGCAUAAAAUAACUUUCUCAUUCAUCCCCUACUUAUGUUUAUUCUGAACAUUAUAUUUUUGUUGUCCCAGUUGGUUGUUGUGGAAAAGUCUGAAUGACUCAAAUGAGGAAUCAGAUCUGCAGUUCUAAAUUUUAUAAACAAGACCAUAUGACUUACAACAUGGAAAGCAGACAGAAAUUAAGCUCUCAU